rnacentral:lncRNA from 1 species
UGAAAGCAAGAGCUUAAAUUCCCGAUUAUGAAGUAGCAUCUCCAACUCGUCGUCAACGGAGCCCUGAGCUAAGACAGACCGAGUAAGAACUGGACAUUCAUUAAAGCCCUCCGUAUUAGGCGACAUUGACAAGGAGAAGCUCUAGUGCAGCGACGAACGCAACCACUAAUCACGCAACAAGAUCACAGGAACGCGUCCCUCGGCCGUAACCGCUAGAUGACCGAACGAAGCGCGCUCGAGUCCUCGAAAGAGGCGGAGCUAAGUACAGAGACGCGCUAGCGAUGGAGGUGACACGAGCUCGUGAUGGUGGCGGCCGCGAGCUCGACGUCGCCGACGAUCGCGCUGAAUCGGCGCCGGCGACGGUGUCGUGAGCUCGUGAUCGCGGCGAUCCCUAGACGACGAAGAGCUAGAGACGCACCUGACGAGAGAGAGAGAGAGAGAGACGACCGAGCGGUUUGGCUUCGGUGACACGGCGAUCGGAGUGGGGGAGAGAGAGAGAGAGAGAGAGAGAGGUGGAGGCGAGUGGGGAGUGGAGCUGGAGCGGACGAUGGGAGGAUCGGACGUCAGGAACUUGAUUAACGUUGGGCGCCAAAGAGCCGCCGAUUUCC